rfam:Anaerobium acetethylicum strain GluBS11 genome assembly, contig: Ga0116910_1023
GAUCAGCAAAUCAAGCCAGAGCGUCAAGAACCAGGAUGCAUCGGAACUUCUGGCAAGAGCAACUUGCAAAGGUGACUUCCCUUUC